CAACCACAAGCCGAGAUAGACAAGAGAAUUUAUAAGUUUUAUCUCAAAUUAUAAGGUCCUUCAAGUUACUUGGAAGAAUUCCAAGAAGGAACAAUCUUAAUUAAGUUGGCUCCACAAACCUUUUGUGAUCAUUGUGCAUGAUUUAGUUUGAGUCGGCAACAUUAGGAGGUUAAACUUUUUAUAGAAUAAAACUAAAAAGCUCGGAAUUCGAAUUAGCAUUACAAUGAAUGGAACAUUGUUACACACACAAAUGGACCAGAAUUUCAAGUGUGGGCAUGUGAGUGAUGGCUUUAUUUUCACCUCUUUCCUCUUCGGAUCACUUUAGUUGUUGUGUUGUUGGUGAGAGAGGAGGGAUGGAUGGUUUUUGCUGCUGUUUUUUAUAGGUUGGUGCUCCUCUCUUCGUUGGGAGUGUUGGCCUGAACUACAGGUUGCUGGGGGCUGAUUUCAGGGCUGCUGUGUUGUGGCUGUUUUGGAGUCAAAUUAAGGGCUGAUUUCAGGGGAGGUUAUGGCUGGUUUCUGUUCAGUGCUGGCGAGGAAGGCAGCUGGGGUUUGGUUCAGUUGUGGAGGGAAUGGCAGCUGAGUUUUAUUCGACACUAGUUCCAACUUGGUUGUUUAUUUGCUGAACAUUUUAUUUUUUUUAUAAUCUUCUAUUAUUAUAUUUUGUGCGAUAUGCUGAA